rnacentral:rRNA from 1 species
UGAAUACGAGAUGCUACGGCGUCGAAGCAGUCUAUGUCAUACUUCCAAGAAAAGCUCGCACUGUCAUAAACAAAUAAUGCCUGUACCAUAACCGACACAGGUGGGUAGGUAGAGUAUACUAAGGGGCGCGAGAUAACUCUCUCUAAGGAACUCGGCAAAAUGACUCCGUAACUUCGGGAGAAGGAGUGCCUUAUUUAUAAGGUUGCAAUAACAAGAUCCAAGCAACUGUUUAUCAAAAACACAGGUCUCCGCUAAGUCGUAAGACGAUGUAUGGGGGCUGACGCCUGCCCAGUGCCAGAAGGUUAAAGAAGUUGGUUAGCAUUCGCGAAGCUGAUGACUGAAGCCCUGGUGAACGGCGGCCGUAACAAUAACGGUCCUAAGGUAGCGAAAUUCCUUGUCGGGUAAGUUCCGACCCGCACGAAAGGCGUAAUGAUUUGGAUACUGUCUCGGAGAGGGGCUCGGUGAAAUAGACUUGUCUGUGAAGAUGCGGACUACCUGCACCAGGACAGAAAGACCCUAUGAAGCUUUACUGUAACUUGAGAUUGAAAUUGGACUUUACUUGCGCAGUAUAGGUGGGAGGCGUUGAUAAUAUUCUUGCGGGAUUAUUUGAGCCAUCAGUGAGAUACCACUCUUGUAAUGUUAGAUUUCUAACUUUGUAUCAUUAUCUGGUCAAAGGACAGUUUCAGGCGGGCAGUUUGACUGGGGCGGUCGCCUCCUAAACGGUAACGGAGGCGCACAAAGGUUUCCUCUGAACGGGUAGAAAUCGUAUCUAGAGUGUAAAGGCAUAAGGAAGCUUGACUGUGAGACCUACAAGUCGAGCAGGGACGAAAGUCGGUCUUAGUGAUCUGACGGUGCUGAGUGGAAAGGCCGUCACUCAACGGAUAAAAGUUACUCUAAGGAUAACAGGCUGAUCUCCCCCAAGAGUUCACAUCGACGGGGAGGUUUGGCACCUCGAUGUCGGCUCAUCGCAUCCUGGGGCGGUAGUACGUCCCAAGGGUUGGGCUGUUCGCCCAUGAAAGCGGUACGCGAGCUGGGUUCAGAACGUCGUGAGACAGUUCGGUCCAUAUCCGGUGUAGGCGUUAGAAUAUUGAGAGGAGCCUUCUUUAGUACGAGAGGACCGAGAAGGACAUACCUCUGGUGUACCAGUUAUCGUGCCAACGGUAAACGCUGGGUAGCUAUGUAUGGAGUGGAUAACCGCUGAAAGCAUCUAAGUGGGAAGCCCACCUCAAGAUAAGUAUUCUC